UUUGUUUGGGGAUCUUUUAGUUUUUCUGCCUAUAUUUUGUUUUUAAAUUGCCGUUAUAAGUUGCUUUACCUUCAAUGUCAGUACUGCACUCACAGUGUUAAAGGUGUUUAUGCUGAGUACCCUUCAAUUCUGCAUACUGUGAAGUGCAGUCAUUCAGCUGAAAAACUGUCAAUCAAAGCCGUGGAUUAGAUACUCGAUGACAGUUAUGUAUACCUUUGAUCUUACUGCAACUGGACUGUCCAUGACGAGUUAGUUUUCAUGCACUGUCUUAAGAUUUGGAAGCUUUGAACUGUAAAUGACACUGUUAACCUGAAACAAUGCCUUAACAUGACAGAUAGACACCCACUCCACGUGGACACUCGAACCGAGAUGUCGCACCAACUUCACAGAACAUUGCACACGACUGAAAUAGAGUGACGAAGAACCUCCUUGUUUGAUCCUCUACGCAAAAUUCCAACAAAUUCCUUUCAGUAUUCUUACAGCUACAUUUGGGUCUUGGCCGUGAUAAUAACCACUGUGGUGAGGUUUGGAAUCGAGCAACACCGACACAUGUAAAGAGAGAAGCCAUACGCUGAGGUAACAGUAAUUGUGCUUACCGAAGCAUCUAAGUAAUUUAAAUUAUUAUAGUAUUGGCGUAUAAACUAUAGCAGGAAAAAGAUUAAUUACAUAUUCGUGCCGCCGAAGCAGUUGUUAUAAAAGCCGGACAGGCUAACUGAAACGCCAAAAAGUUUUUCUAAUAUAAAAUUUUGAAAUGAGAAAAAAUUGUAGUUUUUUUUUAUUCAUGAAUACAAUGCUUUCAAACCCACCCAGUUUAUCCCCAGAUUGACCUUUUUUAGUAUGCUUUCCCUGAAUAGUGUUUUUGCCCCGCUUAUCAAUGUGAUGUUCCGUUUUAAUCUUUAGACUACCUAAUUCCAAAUUUUCAAGGAUGAACAAGCAUUAUUUUCUCAAAUAAACGCUUUUGGGCCUCACUAUUUUUCCUAUUCGGAUCAUUGUGGAGGCAGCGUUUUGUGGUUUAUUUAUGUAUUAUUGGUUGGAUAAGCCGCGGUGUUUGCCGGGAUGCAAAUUAGUCAUGAGGCAUGUUCUGUUCGCUCUUCGCAAUUCACUUUUCACUACGCCUUCUUCCAAUAAUUCAUGGCAAAAAAACUUAUAAACCACAGAAAAAAAUUCUACGUAAUAGUAUUUAUACUCUAGUAGUUCGAUACUACAGAUAAUAUCCGUUUCUAGAAAACCGAAAACUGAUCACACGCCUGACUGAAAAGUAUCUCAUGCGGCUUCCUUUCAGUUUUUACUGAUUUGACUACUGAGUUUCAAUUUAAUGAAUAAAUGCAAAACUCUGCAAUUGAAAACUAUUUGAUUUUCUUGCUACAUAUGAAAUGAAGAAAUCAUUCUCACACUUAACCAACAUUGACAAACCUCACUAUAUCCCACUUAACGAGUUGAAAUGUCUACUUGUCGCGCUCAAUUCAAGACUUGCCUGAGUUAGAGAUUACAUCUGAUUUCGUGACUUCUUUGCCGUAUUAGUUACGUGCUGAAAAUGCGCAUACUUGACCGAUAAAAAGGUGGAUUGACCUCUUACCAGAGUAAGAAAAUGCUGAAAGAUAUCCACAUGCAAGGUCUCUUUCACAAUUUGUGAUUGCGUCUCGCAGUCCUUUCUCACGUAUCGUCUUCUCAAAGUAAUAAAGCUCGUGGGUAUUUAAUAAACUUGACGGUAAUCGACUUGUGAUGUUGUAAGCCAACUACCAAUGUGGAAAGGUUAAAGGCGGCCAUAAAUUCUGCGUUGACUUUCAUUUUCCUUCGAACACGUUUUACCUUUGG
rnacentral:lncRNA from 1 species